AAUGAGACCAGCACUGAUCAACUGCUAGCAGGCAUAUGCUACUCUAAUGCCCCACUGCUGCAAACUGUUGCAAGUUUAAGUAACUACAGUAGUGAAUGUGUACUUUUAUUUGUCUGGGAACAGGCAAAGAGAAUCAUAAAGCCAUUUUUUUGUAAGGU
rnacentral:lncRNA from 1 species